rnacentral:rRNA from 1 species
GAUGAACGCUGGCGGCGUGCCUAAUACAUGCAAGUCGAGCGAACGGACGAGAAGCUUGCUUCUCUGAUGUUAGCGGCGGACGGGUGAGUAACACGUGGAUAACCUACCUAUAAGACUGGGAUAACUUCGGGAAACCGGAGCUAAUACCGGAUAAUAUAUUGAACCGCAUGGUUCAAUAGUGAAAGACGGUCUUGCUGUCACUUAUAGAUGGAUCCGCGCUGCAUUAGCUAGUUGGUAAGGUAACGGCUUACCAAGGCAACGAUGCAUAGCCGACCUGAGAGGGUGAUCGGCCACACUGGAACUGAGACACGGUCCAGACUCCUACGGGAGGCAGCAGUAGGGAAUCUUCCGCAAUGGGCGAAAGCCUGACGGAGCAACGCCGCGUGAGUGAUGAAGGUCUUCGGAUCGUAAAACUCUGUUAUUAGGGAAGAACAAAUGUGUAAGUAACUAUGCACGUCUUGACGGUACCUAAUCAGAAAGCCACGGCUAACUACGUG